GACGAGGAGGACACCUCCGGACCGACGCUGGCACUGAUCACAGGCAACGCAGCGUCGAUGAACGAGAGGCGGCAUCGGAGACUCUUCUUCUCAACGGAGACCGGACGUGUGCGUCGUCCCAGCUGAUGUCAACGGCGCAAAAGUUAGUAAUGUUUUCAUCCUACCAAAGGACUGACAUGUCUUCUGCCUGGAUGAAUGGACAGCAACAACAAGCAGGACCAGAGUCACAUGCUCAGCAAGCCCUUUAUUUUAUGAGGAAUCAGCAUACAGGGAACACAAAUAGCUCAUGUCGGUACCAGACAGUGAACGUGGGAGGCCAACAAGCUCAAAACGGAUGGAUGGAGGAUGGAGCUAACAAACAGGUGUCAAACUGGCAGACUUCAGUUGCUCCGCAUCAGGCAGCGUCCCUGCAGCAGCCAACCGGAGGAAGGAGUAAUGGUUCUUCACAGCAUUUCCAAAACCUGAACAAUAGUCCUCAGAGUGGAAACCAUUACUUGUCAUUCAGUAAUGGAGCUCAAGUUGCCAAUCAGCAGCAGUUUCAUCACAAUUCAUUUCUGAAUUCAUCGACCCAGACUCUACAGGGCUUCCAGAUAACAAAUGCCAUACAGACACAGGACAUUUUCUAUUGGAAGUCCCCAGUUCCCAACAGAAAACAAAGCUGUCACACAAAGGAUGGUAACGUUGUACAUGGUUUUCAGCAUUACAGAGGUCACAGGGCUCAGCUUUCAAAUGUAAACCCAGACCCAUAUAUGGCAACGGAAAACGUGAUGCUGCAUAAACAGGCGGCCGGCACCAGUUUGCCCAUUUCCAGCACAGCACCCACAGGACAGAGCAGUCAUCCCCAGAGUCCCAGACAGAACAUCAUUCACGAUAGACUGUUUACCACCCCCCCUCCAGACUAUCAGGGAGCCACCCAUCAGAGAAAAACCAGCAACUCCUUGUCAAGCAGUCAGAAUUUUUAUGCCACCAACUCGAAUCAGAGAACACAACAAUACCAAUCUCAGCUGAAAACUGUACAAAAUGCUGGCAAACAGCCUUAUACACGUGUCAAGAAGACAUACGCUGCAGCGGGGAAACCCAGGAGAUCAACUGUGUUGAAGACUUAUCGUCCAAUCGCUCCUCAGCCUUUACUGCGCUAUUAUACACAUUGUAGGUUUAACACCAGUCGCCACAGCGCCACGCCAGGACCACAGCGGGUAGCGGAUGGUUUGAGUGCCGCAACAACAGGUAACAGAAGUGGGAAUAAUAGCUUGUCAGACAGGAAUCAGGGAGGUUUCUCAGUGGAUGCAGCUCGGCAUCUAACACAAAUAGCCGAGACUGUUUCGCCACAGAAAAACGACGGCUUGUCAAACAGCAAUCAGGGGGCACUUGCAAUGGAUGCAUGUCGGCAUCUAGCACAUAUGGCCGAGAGCCUUUCGCCACAGAACGACGCACAAUCUUUUGUAGAAAAUGGUCAGCAGCCCCGUGACGUACACGACCACCUCCAAUCCACCACCUCCUCCUCCUCGCCAGGUGACAGCUCCCUUCUCACGUCUCCUGGGCGCACAGGGACGAGAGCUGUUGCUGUUGUGCAACCGUUGUCCCUGGAAACCUUCCAGCCUGGCAUACCUAGCCCCAGUCAGUUUGGUGAGUGCACCCCAAUGGAUGAGUUUUCCUCUAACUCUGGAAAAUCAGGCAUUUUGCCAGAGGUAGCGACAACCAAGCAGGCUGCAUAUUCAUGCAAAGACAAUGAGGUUUGCUCAGUAAAUGCAGACCAAGUCAGGCCAAGCGACCGUCCGAUCACUCCAUCAGCAGCAUCCAGCAGGAGUACGACCGUGUCUUCUUCCAAUUCACCUGAUCCUAACGCGCUGUUGAAAACACUGCUGACUUCAAAUGUCACUGAGGCUCAACAUUGUUUUUACCUGAAAGCACACAAGAAGAACAAUACAACAGUUUUUAAAAAACAAGUUCAUGCUAAAGUGCCAGAAAGCAAACCGCUUGAUGUCGACGAAACACCAGUAGAUCUCUCCUCGGUCCCAACAACCCCUUGGAAUAGAGAAAAGCUAAAUGAGCUAAUAGAGGCUACAGAAAAAUCCCAGAAGGAUAUUCAGAAUGAUGCGUAUGCCAACUCCACGCUCAAACUAUUGAACAUGUUUUGGGGUGGCGAUUCAAAUCUUUUGCUAUCCCAGCUUAAGGGGUACAUUGCUAUAACCCAAGAAGUUAAAGAAUUCUUUAACACACAUGUUACACCAGACUCCAUUAUUUUAUCACAAAUAAAACUGGGCUUUGAGGAAGAACUCAAAAAAUAUCAUUUUUUAAAAGAUGGUGACGUUUACACAGCUCCUCCUUACAAAUCAUCAUGGCUGAAUGUCAACGAGCAGCUAGACGACAUCGAUAAGGAGUUUGGCUUCCCGCGGUCCCUGGUUAAUGGCCUUGAGACAUUAAAGAGCAGCAGGCAGCCAGAUCAAGAAGGGCCUAAUGACAACACUCCUGCACAAACUGCUACGAAGACAACAGAUGACAUCUCGAUAACUACUAAGCAUGCAGCGGUCGACCCCGGUGAUGAAAAACAGACCUUGACACUUACUACCUCAAACGAGUCUUUCUCCCCUCACGAGACUGACUGUGCAGUUUCAGAUGAACCUCAUUACUCCUUUAAUAUCAAAGUUUUGUCCCCAGAGGAGGCCAAACGCAUCUUCCAACAAGUACAAAGGGUGAAGCAACAGGACACAGACGUGGACAGUGAUCCAGGGGAGGUCAAGAACACUUUUUUAGAGGGUCAGGUCCAGGUUUCAGACAUCCCAGUGAUAGACUUGUUACUGGAAACACCCCCAAAGGAGGUUGACUGUGUUUCAAGGGCAUUGGAAACAGUGGAAGUGUCGCAAGUGCCUUUUGCAGGUGAAUGCCAGGUUAAGAAAGAACACACAAGUGAAGCAGACUCUGCUGAUGAGGCGACAGCACCACAAAAAGCCGAAAUUUGUCCAAUUGAGUCUGACACAAAUUUCCACUCUGCUUUAAAAGAAGAGACUCACGUGAUCAGCUGCACUCUAUUUAGUCAUUCUGAGCUAUGCAGCGAAGAAAUCAUUGACUUAACUGAAGACGACUUGCAUUUUGCUGAAGAUCUAAAUAACAUAUCUUAUGUGAGCAUAAGUGAUGGCCAUUCAAGCACUAGCGAGAACGAAGACACUGAGUUGAUAUUGGCAGGAGGUAGUCCAUCAGGGAAUUCAGACACUAGCGAUAGGGAAAUCGAAGACAACUUUAGUGGUGAAGUAGGAAGUCAGAUGUCAACCGACAAAGAGCAUUGUGCACAAGAUGAGCGGACAUCCACAGAUGUGACAGAGUCCGGGCAUUCCCCCCAAAGACCGCCGCAAAUGAACCUUGCAUCCUCCCCCCACACAGCCACGCUCCAUGGAGAAAGUGGGACUGCUGAACACCAGCAAACAGGAGCAAAAAGUUCUGAUCUGAAGUCUGUGUCCCAAACUUUGGAUUCCAAAAAAGAUGUUCCUGACGGUAAAUCUCCAACCACAAAGACCGUAGAAUUGUUAUUGUUCGGCUCCUCCCCUCAAGAGAAGUUACCUGGCGGGAGAACAAAGUCGGUUUCCUUUCCACCAGGAAAGACUGCCCCAAAGCUUCUCUGCGUGAAAGUCCGUUCCCGGGAAGGAGCCUUCCAGUCAAAAGACCCUGUGUACCAUGGAACAUAUUCAGUCAAGCAGCGGAUUCACGAGGAAUGGAAGAAAAGUUUCCCACCAAUUAACAUUAAGCUGAAAAAAGUUAAAAAAAGGAAAUCCAAGCAUAGCUCUUCAUCUGAGAUGUGUUUCAAGGUGGAUCGAACGAGUUGGUCCACCAGCUCCACAGAGCUGCCGGAUUCGUCUGGAAUCACCUGGAGUAAAAACGCCACACUAAGGAGCCUCUCCAACGAAGGCAAAACUACAGGGAAGGCCGUCAAACGUGGACGGCCUCCCGGUAAAAAAAGAGGCAAGGAAGUGGAAGGCAAGUCGUCGUGUCCCCACAGGAAAAAGUUCUGGGUGUCACCAAAGAGCUUUUUAUGGAGUGGAUAAAAGGAAACCUGUGUCAG
ensembl:lncRNA